UAUGUUGCAUCAUUUCAAAGGUUAUGUCAAAUGGCGUCAUGAAUGAGUACAAUUUAAACGGGAAAAUGGAUAAGCUGUCUUUUCGAAAGACAAAUACAAUGAAGUUAAUCGUCGCAACUGUUGCAAAGUUGAAGAAGUAUACAGAAAAAGAUAU
rnacentral:lncRNA from 1 species